rnacentral:rRNA from 14 species
AGCUCCAUCUAUACCACCCUGAUCAUGCCCAAUCUCGCCUGAUCUCGUAAGCUGAGCAGGGCUGGGACUGGAUGGUACUUGGACAGGAGGUCACCAUAUUACUGGGGCUG